GUUGUAUCUGUUUGCUCGGGAUGCCAUAACAAAGGACCACAGACUGGGGGGUUUAAACAGCAGAAGUUUACUUUCUCACAGUACUGGAGGCUGGAAGUCUGAGGUCAAGGUGCUGGCGGUGUCGGUUUCUCCUGAGCCCUCUCUCUUUUGCCGGGGCUGUUCUGCUUGCUGGAUUGGAAAUGAUUUUAGCCCCUCAUGCCAGGAAGAAAACAUAGGCAGAUUUCUCACCAGCUAAAAAGGAAGGAAAAAUUGUGAAGUGAAAUUUUCUACUGGCUGUGGUUUAUCCAUGUUAAAUUGUAAAGCAUAUAACACAGAUGGAAUCCGGCACAUGCAAAACACUCACAAAACCUAGUUACUACUACUGCUGGCGCUGCGGCUACACGACUACAACUACUACUACAGCCACUACUCUCCUCCUACUGCUACUGCUGCUGCUGCUAGUGUUUCGUAAAGUGGAGCUACAGAAAUCAACAUUUUUUUUCUUAGCUGCACAGUGAAUUCGUUUUUUGGACUCCAGUAUUCUUCCUGAAGGUCUGUUUCAUCCUAGUAUGACUCUCACUUUUUUUUCAAAAUUUUAUUUUAUUUUAUUUUUGAAAUGGAGCCUCACUCUGUUGCCCAGGCUGGAGUGCAGUGGCGUGAUCUCGGCUCACUACAACCUCCGCCUCUGGGUUCAAGAGAUUCUCCUGCCUCGGCCUACUGAGUAGCUGGGAUUACAGGCACGCGCCACCACGCCCAGCUAAUUUUUGUAUUUUCAGAAGAGAUGGGGUUUCACCAUGUUGGCCAGGAGGGUCUCAAUCUCCUGACCUCAUGAUCCGCCUGCCUCGGCUUCCCAAAGUGCUGGGAUUGCAGGCGUGAGCCACCAUGCCUCUACAUUUUAAUUUUUUAAAACUUACCAUCUUUAUCAUUUUUAAGUGUACAGUUAAGUGGUAAUAAAUACAUAUGUAUCUCCUAUCUCAUUUCCUUAUUUUCAUCCCCCAUCCCAUUUCUGGACUCUGGCUAAUAGCAGUCUACUCGGUAUCAUCACGAGAUCCACGUUUUUAGUUUCCACAUAUGAAUGAGAACAUGCGAUAUUUGUCUUUCUGUGCUUGGCUUAUUUCACUUAACAUAAUGGCCUCUGGUUCCAUCCAUGCUGCUGCAAGUGACAGGAUUUCACUCUUUUUAUAGCUGAAUAAUAUUCCAUUGUGUAAAUAUAACACAUUUCCUUUAUUCAUCUGUUGAUGGGUACUUACGUUGAUUCUAUAUUUUGAAUAGUGCUGCAGUAAACAUGGGAGGGAGAUAUCUCUUUAAUAUACUGAUUUCCUUUCUUUUGAGUAUAUACCCAGCAGUGAAAUUGCUAGACCAAAUGGUAGUUCUAUUUUUAGUUUUUUUGCAGAACCUCCAUACUGUUCUAAUUUACAUUCCCACCAACAGCGUAUGAGGAUUCCCCUUUCUCCACAUCUUCGCCAGAUCUGUUAUCGCCUGCCUUUAUUUACUUAUUUUUAUUUUUAAUUCUUGUGGGUACGUAGUAGGUAUAUAUGGGAUACAUUAGCUGUUUUGAUAUAGACAUGCAAUCUGUAAUAAUCAUAUCAUGGAAAAUGGGGUAUCCGUCCCCUCAAGCAUUUAUUCUUUGUGUUACCAACAAUUCAAUUAUACUCUUUCAGUUAUUUUGAAAUGUAUAAUUAAAUUAUUAUUGAUGUA
ensembl:lncRNA novel transcript